rnacentral:rRNA from 1 species
GUCCUAAAGGGUUGUUCAAGACUAGAACGUUGAUAGGCAGGGUGUGUAAGCGCUGUGAGGCGUUGAGCUAACCUGUACUAAUUGCCCGUGAGGCUUAACCAUACAACACCCAAGGGGUUU